GUGGGGAAACUCAGUGGCAGAGCAUCUGCUUUGCAUGCAGAAGGUCUAAGGUUCAAUCCCCAGCAACCCCAGCCA